rnacentral:rRNA from 1 species
AUUGAACGCUGGCGGCAGGCUUAACACAUGCAAGUCGAGCGGGGUGAUGGUGCUUGCACUAUCACUUAGCGGCGGACGGGUGAGUAAUGCUUAGGAAUCUGCCUAUUAGUGGGGGACAACAUCUCGAAAGGGAUGCUAAUACCGCAUACGUCCUACGGGAGAAAGCAGGGGAUCACUUGUGACCUUGCGCUAAUAGAUGAGCCUAAGUCGGAUUGGCUAGUUGGUGGGGUAGAGGCCUACCAAGGCGACGAUCUGUAGCGGGUCUGAGAGGAUGGCGCGCCAAAGUGGGACUGAGCCACGGCCCAGAGUCCGACGGGAGGCAGCAGGGGGGAAUAUCGGACAAUGGGGGGAACCCUGAUCCAGCCAUGCCGCGUGUGUGAAGAAGGCCUUAUGGUUGUAAAGCACUUUAAGCGAGGAGGAGGCUCUUUUGGUCAAUACCCAAGGUGAGUGGACGUUACUCGCAGAAUAAGCACCGGCUAACUCUGUGCCAGCCGCCGCCGUAAGAC